AGCUAGCAUGGCAUAGUGGUUUGAGCACGGGACUACGACUCUGGAGACUAGGGUUUAAUUCCCAGCUUGGCUA